UACGAAGGGGGCUAGCGUUGUUCGGAAUUACUUGGCGUAAAGCGUGCGCAGGCGGCUUCUCAAGUCAGGGGUGAAAGCCCAGAGCUCAACUCUGGAAUUGCCUUUGAGUCUGAGUGGCUUGAGUACGGGAGAGGUGAGUGGAAUUCCCAGUGUAGAGGUGAAAUUCGUAGAUAUUGGGAAGAACACCGGUGGCGAAGGCGGCUCACUGGCCCGUAACUGACGCUCAUGCACGACAGCGUGGGGAUCAAACAGG
rnacentral:rRNA from 1 species